rnacentral:rRNA from 1 species
GACGAACGCUGGCGGCAUGCCUAACACAUGCAAGUCGAGCGAACAGAUGAAGUGCUUGCACUUCUGACGUUAGCGGCGAACGGGUGAGUAACACGUAAGGAAUCUACCUAUAAGCGGGGGAUAACAUUCGGAAACGGGUGCUAAUACCGCAUAAUAUCUUCUUCCGCAUGGAAGAAGAUUGAAAGACGGCUCUGCUGUCACUUAUAGAUGACCUUGCGGUGCUUUAGUUAGUUGGUUGGGUAACGGCCUACCAAGACGAUGAUGCAUAGCCGACCUGAGAGGGUGAUCGGCCACAUUGGGACUGAGACACGGCCCAAACUCCUACGGGAGGCAGCAGUAGGGAAUCUUCCGCAAUGGGCGAAAGCCUGACGGAGCAAUGCCGCGUGAGUGAAGAAGGCCUUCGGGUCGUAAAACUCUGUUAUAAGAGAAGAACAAAUUGUAGAGUAACUGCUACAGUAUUGACGGUAUCUUAUCAGAAAGCCACGGCUAACUACGUGCCAGCAGCCGCCGUAA